UACGUAGGGGGCUAGCGUUGUCCGGAAUCAUUGGGCGUAAAGAGCGCGUAGGCGGCCCGGUAAGUCUGCUGUAAAAGUCAAAGGCUUAACCUUUGAAAGUCAGUGGAUACUGCCGGGCUAGAGUCCGGAAGAGGCGAGUGGAACUCCUGGUGUAGCGGUGGAAUGCGCAGAUAUCAGGAAGAACACCAACGGCGAAGGCAGCUCGCUAGGACGGUACUGACGCUGAGACGCGAAAGCGUGGGGAGCGAACAGG
rnacentral:rRNA from 1 species